rnacentral:ncRNA from 2 species
AUGUGCGACCACAUUUCAGGUGCUUUUGCAAAAGAGCUAAAAAGGGAACCUCGUGCAAGUCGAGGACGGGCCCGCCGCUGUAACCGGGUACAGAUUUCACGUAAAACCACUGGGAAUUUUCCUGGGAAGGUGUGGAAGAUGGACGAUCCGGGAGUCAGAAAACCUGCCUGAGAUGACGGUACAGC